rnacentral:rRNA from 1 species
UAAUACGGAGGGUGCAAGCGUUAAUCGGAAUUACUGGGCGUAAAGGGCGCGUAGGUGGUUUACUAAGUUAGUUGUGAAAUUCCUGGGCUUAACCUGGGGUGGUCAGCUGAUACUGGUAGACUGGAGUACGAGAGAGGGUAGUGGAAUUUCCGGUGUAGCGGUGAAAUGCGUAGAUAUCGGAAGGAACACCAGUGGCGAAGGCGACUACCUGGUUCGAUACUGACACUGAGGCGCGAAAGCGUGGGGAGCAAACAGGAUUAGAUACCCUGGUAGUCCACGCUGUAAACGAUGUCAACUAGCUGUUUGUUCAUGCAAAUGAAUAAGUGGCGCAGCUAACGCGAUAAGUUGACCGCCUGGGGAGUACGGUCGCAAGAUUA